UACGUAGGGUCCGAGCGUUGUCCGGAAUUAUUGGGCGUAAAGGGCUCGUAGGCGGUUUGUCGCGUCGGGAGUGAAAACCUACAGCUUAACUGUGGGCUUGCUUUCGAUACGGGCAGACUUGAGGCAUGCAGGGGAGAACGGAAUUCCUGGUGUAGCGGUGAAAUUCGUAGAUAUUCGCAAGACCACCAGUGGCGAAGGCGGCUUGCCAGAACGCGCUCGACGGUGAGGGAUGAAAGCUGGGGGGAGCAAACCGGAUU
rnacentral:rRNA from 1 species